AUCCAGCUGACGAGUCCCAAAAAGGAUGAAACGCGCGUCCUGAAU
rnacentral:hammerhead_ribozyme from 1 species